CUGAGGACCAGGCAAGACACAGGAAACCUUUCAGCUACAUACAAGUUCUUCCCUCUUGAAAAUCUCCGUGGGAAAGGGAAAUGUGCCGAACCAUCCAUGCUUGCAGCCUCUCCUGAGGAUGUGACCACUCCCUGGCUGGUCACAGAACAGUCUGGGCUCCUCAGAUAUGCAAGUGACUCAUUCUCCAUCCAUCAGAGAUGAGGCUUAAAUAAAUAAAAAGGAACACAAGAACCUAGGGCCCUUCCAAUGGCAUCCCCUGAACUCCAAUGUACACCAAUAUUAGAG